rnacentral:lncRNA from 1 species
CUCUGGCAACUGCAGAAAUUUUCACAAGUCAAAACUGGAAAUAUUCUCUUGAGUCUUCAAGAUAAAGGCACUUGUGUUUGUAUCAUCAUGUGCACGGACGUGUAAGAAUCCGAUGCAAUUUCUGCUUCAUCACUUUUACAUGUUUGUGUUGUCACUGAAAAGUGCAACCGUUGUUUAUUGCUCCCAAGGAGAACCUGAAUGCAUUUUUUAUGUUGGAAAACUUGUUUUUAGUGAUUUUUCUUUGGGACAAAAUGAGCAUAAUAAAGAACACUCCAAUAGAAAAGGAAUUAUUACAGCAAAUUAAAAGGACUGAUACAUUACUUCCUAUCUUGUCAUUUUUAAAUGCCAUUUCCUGUUUUAC